rnacentral:rRNA from 1 species
GGUCAAGUUAUUAAGGGUGCAGGGCGGAUGCCUUGGCACUAGGAGCCGAUGAAGGACGUGAUAAGCUGCGAUAAGCUUCGGGGAGUUGCACGUAAACUUUGAUCCGAAGAUUUCCGAAUGAGGAAACUCACUUAGAGUAAUGUCUAAGUAUCAUUAAGUGAAUACAUAGCUUAAUGAGGGGAACUCAGGGAACUGAAACAUCUAAGUACCUGAAGGAAGAGAAAGAAAUUCGAUUCCGUAAGUAGCGGCGAGCGAACGCGGAUUAGCCCAAACCAAUAAAGUUUUCUUUAUUGGGGUUGCGGACAUAUCAUAACGAAGAGGUAUCGUAAUUGAAGAGGUUUGGAAAGACCCACCACAGAAGGUAAUAGUCCUGUAUGUUAAACGAGAAGACUUCAGAUAUGAUCCAGAGUACCACGGGACACGUGAAACCCUGUGGGAAGCAGGAGGGACCACCCUCCAAGGCUAAAUACUACCUAGUGACCGAUAGCGUAUAGUACCGUGAGGGAAAGGUGAAAAGAACCCCGGGAGGGGAGUGAAAUAGAACCUGAAACCCUGCACUUACAAGCUGUGGAAGCACAUUUCUUGUGUGACCGCGUACUUUUUGUAGAACGGGCCAACGAGUUACGUUAAGUAGCAAGGUUAAGCACUUAAGGUGUGGAGCCGUAGCGAAAGCGAGUUUUAACUGAGCGUUCAGUUACUUGACGUAGACCCGAAACCGGGCGACCUACCCAUGAGCAGGAUGAAGCGAAAGUAAAAUUUCGUGGAGGUCCGAACCCACGAGCGUUGAAAAGCUCGGGGAUGACUUGUGGGUAGCGGUGAAAUUCCAAUCGAGCCCGGAGAUAGCUGGUUCUCCCCGAAAUAGCUUUAGGGCUAGCCUCAAGGUGAGAGAUACGGAGGUAGAGCACUGAAUGUCCUAGGGGGUAUUGCACCUACCGAAGACUAUCAAACUCCGAAUGCCGUCAUCUUAUACUUGGGAGUCAGACUGUGGGUGAUAAGAUUCAUAGUCGAAAGGGCAACAGCCCAGAUCGUCAGCUAAGGUCCCUAAAUGUAAGUUAAGUGGUAAAGGAUGUGGGAUUGCACAGACAACCAGGAUGUUGGCUUAGAAGCAGCCACUCAUUCAAAGAGUGCGUAAUAGCUCACUGGUCGAGUGAUCCUGCGCCGAAGAUUUCCGGGGCUAAAACUUACUACCGAAGCUACGGCAUCAGUAAUGAUGGGUAGGGGAGCUUCCCAUACGGGUUGAAGCAUGACCGUAAGGACAUGUGGACAGUAUGGGAGUGAGAAUGUUGGCAUGAGUAGCGAGAUGUGGGUGAGAAUCCCACAGGCCGUAAACCCAAGGUUUCCAGGGGAAGGUUCGUCCGCCCUGGGUUAGUCGGGACCUAAGCUGAGGCCGAAAGGCGUAGGUGAUGGACAACAGGUUGAUAUUCCUGUACUACCGAUAACCGUUUGAGAGAAGGGAUGACACAGUAGGAUAAGCUAAGCACACUGUUGGUUAUGUGUGCCCAAGCAUUGAGGCAGUCAAAGUAGGCAAAUCCGCUUUGAUAAUGCUGGGAUGUGAUGGGGAGCGAAAUUUAGUAGCGAAGUAGCUGAUUUCACACUGUCAAGAAAAGUCUCUAUCGAGGUUAAAGGUACCCGUACCGCAAACCGACACAGGUGGGUGAGGAGAGUAUCCUAAGGCCAGCGAGAGAACUGUUGUUAAGGAACUCGGCAAAAUGACCCCGUAACUUAGGGAUAAGGGGUGCCACCAUCAGGUGGCCGCAGAGAAUAGGCCCAAGCGACUGUUUACCAAAAACAUAGGUUUCUGCUAAGUCGCAAGACGAUGUAUAGGAGCUGACGCCUGCCCGGUGCUGGAAGGUUAAGGGGAUCUGUUAGAGCAAUCGAAGCAGUGAACUUAAGCCCCAGUAAACGGCGGCCGUAACUAUAACGGUCCUAAGGUAGCGAAAUUCCUUGUCGGGUAAGUUCCGACCCGCACGAAAGGCGUAACGAUUUGGGCACUGUCUCAACAACAGACUCGGUGAAAUUGUAAUUCCGGUGAAGAUGCCGGAUACCUGCGACAGGACGGAAAGACCCCAUGGAGCUUUACUGUAGCUUGACAUUGGGU